GACGAACGCUGGCGGCGUGCCUAAUACAUGCAAGUAGAACGCUGAAGAGAGGAGCUUGCUCUUCUUGGAUGAGUUGCGAACGGGUGAGUAACGCGUAGGUAACCUGCCUUGUAGCGGGGGAUAACUAUUGGAAACGAUAGCUAAUACCGCAUAACAAUGGAUGACACAUGUCAUUUAUUUGAAAGGGGCAAUUGCUCCACUACAAGACGGACCUGCGUUGUAUUAGCUAGUAGGUGAGGUAAUGGCUCACCUAGGCGACGAUACAUAGCCGACCUGAGAGGGUGAUCGGCCACACUGGGACUGAGACACGGCCCAGACUCCUACGGGAGGCAGCAGUAGGGAAUCUUCGGCAAUGGGGGCAACCCUGACCGAGCAACGCCGCGUGAGUGAAGAAGGUUUUCGGAUCGUAAAGCUCUGUUGUAAGUCAAGAACGGGUGUGAGAGUGGAAAGUUCACACUGUGACGGUAGCUUACCAGAAAGGGACGGCUAACUACGUGCCAGCAGCCGCGGUAAUACGUAGGUCCCGAGCGUUGUCCGGAUUUAUUGGGCGUAAAGCGAGCGCAGGCGGUUUGAUAAGUCUGAAGUUAAAGGCUGUGGCUCAACCAUAGUUCGCUUUGGAAACUGUCAAACUUGAGUGCAGAAGGGGAGAGUGGAAUUCCCUGUGUUGCGGUGAAAUGCGUAGAUAUAUGGAGGAACACCGGUGGCGAAAGCGGCUCUCUGGUCUGUAACUGACGCUGAGGCUCGAAAGCGUGGGGAGCGAACAGGAUUAUAUACCCUGGUAGUCCACGCCGUAAACGAUGAGUGCUAAGUGUUGGAUCCUUUCCGGGAUUCAGUGCCGCAGCUAACGCAUUAAGCACUCCGCCUGGGGAGUACGACCGCAAGGUUGAAACUCAAAGGAAUUGACGGGGGCCCGCACAAGCGGUGGAGCAUGUGGUUUAAUUUCGAAGCAACGCGAAGAACCUUACCAGGUCUUGACAUCCCGAUGCUAUUUCUAGAGAUAGAAAGUUACUUCGGUACAUCGGUGACAGGUGGUGCAUGGUUGUCGUCAGCUCGUGUCGUGAGAUGUUGGGAUAAGUCCCGCAACGAGCGCAACCCCUAUUGUUAGUUGCCAUCAUUCAGUUGGGCACUCUAGCGAGACUGCCGGUAAUAAACCGGAGGAAGGUGGGGAUGACGUCAAAUCAUCAUGCCCCUUAUGACCUGGGCUACACACGUGCUACAAUGGUUGGUACAACGAGUUGCGAGUCGGUGACGGCGAGCUAAUCUCUUAAAGCCAAUCUCAGUUCGGAUUGUAGGCUGCAACUCGCCUACAUGAAGUCGGAAUCGCUAGUAAUCGCGGAUCAGCACGCCGCGGUGAAUACGUUCCCGGGCCU
rnacentral:rRNA from 1 species